CUGCCUCUCCCUGUGUGUCUCUCGGGAAUGAAUGAAUAAAUAAAUAAAAUCUUUUUUUCUUUAAAGAGAGAAUCUCCAACGUGCAAGACAAGUGGAGCUUCUCUGCCUCCGCCCGAGCUGAGGGAUGAAGCUGGGCCGAAUCAUCGAGUCACAGAGCCGAAGGAACCUUAGGAUCUCUCAGUGCUUUGACGUUAUAGACAAAGAAGCUGAAUUUCAAGGAAAUGUACUGUUUGCUGAAGGUUUGACCAAGGCACACUGAGCAGACCAGCUGGCUCCCCCCGAUUCAGUUCUGUCCCCUUCCCAGAGUUGGCCCCCCUUAGGGACUGGCUCGGCAAAGUCAUUCAUCAGGAACUUGCUUGCAGCUCAGACAACAGGACAGUCCUGCUUCUGUUUUCUCUUCUAACAACAAAGGUUUAUGGUGGCCAUAACUGGGCGACUGGGCUGUAUGGCAGUGGACCAACUAUCUGAAUUCCUACAGGGAGGCACGUGAUGGGGACACCACCAUGUACAGAGCUACUCUUGAGAAAUGAAGUGUGAUGGAACAGAGGCCAUCUGGCUCCAGUUCCGGAGUCUGCAAGCAUCCUGAGCUUGGACUUAAGUGGGUCCACUGCACCUGCUCCUUGGGGGUAAAAAGCAAAAUGGCAGGCCCAUGUCCAUAAGCCUUUCUUGAACCACAUCGGCCAUGAAAUGUGCUGCCUAGUCAGAUACUGUGGAUCUGGGAUGACAGCUGUAAAACCCCUAGUGGUGGUUUUCAGUUGCCACCUUCUCACUUGAGUAGGAAUCAACUGGUUUUUCAAUAUUUAUUGGCUGUGGAUCUUUAAAAAAUUAGUUUCCACAUCUGUAAAAUGGGGGUAAUAACAGCCAUCACCCAUUCAUUGUGAGGAUUAAAUAGGUAUUAAAUAAGGCACACCAAUCAGUAUCUAUGGCUUAGCAGGCACUCCGUAAUGCCAGCCUUGACUGUCAUCAAAGCAAAAAGUCAUCAUUUGGUUAACUCUAAGUAUAAGACAGAUUGGCAUGCUUUGGUCUUACUGAAAGGUUUUUAAGUUUGAUGGGUUUACCUGUAAAGACACAGUGAGGAUCACAUUAACUAGCCAUGGAGGAUCCUAGAGCCCUCUUCCUUGCUCAGGGCACUUGUGCUUUUGGGUUUGGUAUACACACCCUAAGACUUACCCAAAAUGGAUGGAUGGAUGUCUGCUAUAAGCAGGCAAGGCUGUGCCUUGUCAGAAAGGCCACAGAGGCUGUUACUCAGUUUCCCAGCUGCACUCACACCCUUAGAACUGCACAACUUUGAGGACAAUUAAAUAAGCUUGCUUAGCUUAUUCAAUCAACAACGAAUAAAAAAAAGUCUCCAUAAAAAUUCUGCCAACAAGUUGAUGAGACAGGAGUACAGAUCCAAAGUCGGGGUGUCUAGGUCAUCUUAUUCUUGUUCUGUAUUAUAAAAAAGAUUGUAUUCCUCUAAAUAACAUUGAAUCUGGAAAACAGAUCAUUGUGGGCUUAUUUCUAAAACUUAUUUCUUGGCUCGCCAGUUAAAGUGAUAAUGAAGCUAUGGAAUAAACUCUCUUCCCAAUAAAAAUGGAAAUCCUUUAAAGAAAGUGAAGCAAAAUUUAUUUUAGGUUAAGUCAAUCAGACAAAAUGUACUUUUCCCUUCCCAUCUAUAAAAGCAGCCUUCCCAAGCCUUCAGAAAAACCAGAA